rnacentral:lncRNA from 1 species
GGGGGAAGGAGAUUUUCUGGUGGCAUUGAGACACUGACCUGUAUGUCAUCUCAUAUCUGCAUUUGGAAAUCAAUGCCCAGAGCUGCUUUGCAGGCCAACACUUUCCUGCCCAUGUGCUUCUUCUGUGUGAGCUUCUCCUUUUCAUAGGCUAGACAACUUUGAGUUGCUUGGCUGGAAUCAAAUGUAACUGCUCCCUUGGCACUAGUUUUGUUGGACCGUUGUGCUGCUCUCCAGACAAGAGAUGAAUAUCACUAUCCUAAAUGACAGUUGUCCAUGGGUUCAUCAAUUGAAACCCCUGUGGAUGAUGGAAAUCUAACAGGUCUUCCAGUGAAGAUACACCAGAAAGAUAAGCCUGAGCAGCGGAGACGUCAGCACCGAUGGUAGCUGAACUACAGCUGUAAGACUGCCAAAAAAACUCUGAACUGUGCGGAUCGUUGACUGUCAGGACAACGUAGAUUUGGCCAGACAAGUGAGAUCAAAGGACCAUCUAGCCACGUAUACUGGCUCAGAGUGGCCAACAAUCUAUAUUCAAGGAAAAAAAUUAAAGACUAAGGUAAGCACACAGUGAUAUUUCUUCUACCAUGUUUUCCUGGUUUUCAGAAUUCUGCAGAGCAGUCUUUUUCUGGAGUCAGAAAACAUAUUUUUAGUAGUACUUGUGGA